rnacentral:rRNA from 1 species
AUACAAUCUACCUUUUACAGGGGGAUAGCCUUUGGAAACGAAGAAUAAUACCCCAUAGUAUUUAGAUACUGCAUGGUAUUUAGAUUAAAGAUUUAUCGGUAAGAGAUGAGUAUGCGUCCUAUUAGCUAGAUGGUGUGGUAACGGCACACCAUGGCGACGAUAGGUAGGGGCCCUGAGAGGGGGAUCCCCCACACUGGUACUGAGACACGGACCAGACUCCUACGGGAGGCAGCAGUGAGGAAUAUUGGACAAUGGAGGCAACUCUGAUCCAGCCAUGCCGCGUGCAGGAAGACUGCCCUAUGGGUUUGUAAACUGCUUUUAUACGGGAAGAAACACCCCUACGUGUAGGGGCUUGACGGUACCGUAAGAAUAAGGAUCGGCUAACUCCGUGCCAGCAGCCACGGUAAUACGGAGGAUCCAAGCGUUAUCCGGAAUCAUUGGGUUUAAAGGGUCCGUAGGCGGGCUAAUAAGUCAGGGGUGAAAUCCAACAGCUUAACUGUUGAAUUGCCUUUUGAAACUGUUAAUCUUGAGUUAUUAUGAAGUAGUUUAGAAUAUGUAGUGUAGCGGGUGAAAAUGCAUAGAUAUUUACUUAGAAAUACCAUUUGCGAAGGGCAGAUUACUUAAUAAAUAUACCUGAACACUGCAUGGGACGAAAGCCGUGGGGGAGCGAACAGGAUUAGAUACCCC